GUUUCCUUACUGAAGAUGAUGGUGCCAGCCUUCGCAGCAUCUGAAGUCUGAUGUUAUGUCCCCAUAUAGGAUAUCAACCAUGAGCACCUGAAAGAUGAGCAAGUCAUUCCCUGGCUACCAAGUGAUGGAUCCUGAUGCCAAACCUUGGCUGACUUUGGAAGUCAGUUGCUGAAUAGGAUGGGAGCAAGAGAUAGAAUUUCAUUUGCUAUGGUUGACAUAGUUCACCAACAGUAUGGCUUAAACAACAUAAGUGUGUUUUUUGAGAACUGGUCACUUCUGAUAUGUGAAGAUCAUGCCAAAUCUCUG